AGUGAACGCUGGCGGUAGGCCUAACACAUGCGAGUCGAACGGCAGCACAGUAAGAGCUUGCUCUUACGGGUGGCGAGUGGCGGACGGGUGAGGAAUACAUCGGAAUCUACUUUUUCGUGGGGGAUAACGUAGGGAAACUUACGCUAAUACCGCAUACGACCUACGGGUGAAAGCAGGGGAUCUUCGGACCUUGCGCGAUUGAAUGAGCCGAUGUCGGAUUAGCUAGUUGGCGGGGUAAAGGCCCACCAAGGCGACGAUCCGUAGCUGGUCUGAGAGGAUGAUCAGCCACACUGGAACUGAGACACGGUCCAGAGUCCGACGGGAGGCAGCAGUGGCGAAUAUUAGACAAUGGGCGCAAGCCUGAUCCAGCCAUACCGCGUGGGUGAAGAAGGCCUUCGGGUUGUAAAGCCCUUUUGUUGGGAAAGAAAAGCAGCAGGUUAAUACCCCGCUGUUCUGACGGUACCCAAAGAAUAAGCACCGGCUAACUUCGUG
rnacentral:rRNA from 1 species